rnacentral:rRNA from 1 species
UACGUAGGGUGCGAGCGUUAAUCGGAAUUACUGGGCGUAAAGCGUGCGCAGGCGGUUCGUUAAGUCAGCUGUGAAAGCCCCGGGCUCAACCUGGGAAUUGCGGUUGAAACUGGCGGACUAGAAUCUGGCAGAGGGGGGUGGAAUUCCACGUGUAGCAGUGAAAUUCGUAGAUAUUCGCAAGAACACCAGUGGCGAAGGCGGCUCACUGGCCCGAUACUGACGCUGAGGCACGAAAGCGUGGGGAGCAAACAGG